GAAGUUUCCAUUCUGGUUAUCUCUGCUGGGACUAGACUCACCCAUGAUGAUAAAAAUGCAGUGAUUUUUAAUUCUUUCUUCCUGCAACCAAAGAAAAGAAAAAAAAARGCUUUCUUCUCAGCAGAAAUUGUGUCCUUACUUUGAGAAGGACUGUUCCUGAAACAUCCAUGAAGAACACCCCUCAGGCUGAUUGUUUUUCUUCCUAGAGAAAUAUGUAUCUAUGCAACAGUGAGCACAACUGCACCUAAUAUUUGUG